rnacentral:lncRNA from 1 species
UUUCUAUAGCUCCUUCAGAUCAUCGAUUAAAGAUCGUAGAUAUAUAUCAAUUUUAUUAUCUGAUACUUUCGGACCUAGAAUCAACAGUGACAUAAAAAUAAAUGAUUCUUUCAUGCACUUUCAAGGGGAUACAUUAUAUAUAACUAGCAUCAUAGGCCACAUGCUGUAAGAGAUACUCAGAUUGCCAAAGAGAUUAAAUCCAUCUGUCAUUAGACCAAGCCGGAUAUUGCGCACGUCACUCGUAAAGUGUGGAUGCUUUUCAUCGAAGUCUUUUCACACUAAAGAGUCGGUUGGGUGGCUAAGUAUAUUUUUCUUCAAAAUUUGCUGCUCAUGCAUAUAUUUGAACAAGUACCCUGAUGUAAAUUAUCUAAUAAUUCUCCUAUACCACUAUGUUCGACAGGUCUAGCAGCAUCACUAUCAUCUUCAGUAUCAUCAUCGUCACGCACCAC